rnacentral:pre_miRNA from 1 species
CAUGCACUGGUGGGGUCCCUCGGUCUGGCCUUUGCCCUCUCACAAUCUGGAACCCCUCGGGGGAUGUCUGCAGGCCAGGCCGAGGGACCCCACCAGUGCACA